GAGCCCUACGUAGUGAAAAAGUAGGCUAUGGCGCUCGAAUGCUCCGUGUUCGCUUCUCACUCCUCCAUGAAGUCCGGCUUGCGCUCCCUGGCUGUGCGAUCCUCUCACACCGCGGUCUCGACGACAGCGUCGCAGACUUCGCACACAGCGAUUCGGACGCCACACAGCGGGUACCAUUUCGAUGGAUCCAGCCGGCGCUUCAUGGAGGGAUGGUACUUCAAGGUCGCACUUCCUGACGAGAAGCAAAGCUUUGCAUGGAUGUAUUCCAUUGAGGAUCCUGCAUUCUCGGAAAGCCCGAGUGGGAUCAAGGAACUCGUCAAGGGGCCGAGGUUUCCCGGCAUGGGAGCUCAAGUUCUUGGACCGAACGACGAGUAUUUGUUUCAGUUCCAAGACACUACUAGAAAGUUCUGGGCAAGUCGAACCGAGCUGGCUUUGGGUGGUACGUUCGCGUCUAAGAAAGGGAGCUCGCCACCAAGAUCACUGCUCCCAUCCCAAGAGUUUGAUUCACGCGUAGAAGAAGGAUUUCAAGUGGACGCAUUCUGGCACCAAGGAUUUCUCCGUGACAAUGGGAGGUCGCCAAAGCUAAACACCGUGGACAGUGUGAGAUGGGAGUAUAGCACACGGCCAUUGUACGGCUGGGGAAACUCUGGUUCUGGACAAAAAGCAACAGCGGGGUGGCUGGCUGCUUUUCCGGUUUUCGAGCCCCACUGGCAAAUCUGCAUGGCGCACGGACUUUCAACAGGCUGGAUACAGUGGGGCGAGAAACGCUACGAGUUCGAGGACGUUCCUUCGUACGUUGAAAAAAACUGGGGCGGAACUUUCCCGGAGAAAUGGUUCUGGGUCCAAUGCAAUGUUUUCCAAGGCUCUUCCGGAGACGUAGCACUGACUUCCGGAGGAGGAAAGCGCGGUCUACCAUUUCCUCCUGGAAGCUUUGAAGAAGUCGCCAUGGUAGGUGUGCACCACGCUGGAAAAUUCUACGAGUUCGUUCCAUGGGCAGGCGAAGUGGAAUGGGAGAUAACUCCUUGGGGCAGCUGGAAGAUCGCAGCAAGCACCAUAGAAUAUGAGGUGUUGCUAGAAGCAACAACAGAUACACCAGGGACAGUGCUCCGUGCUCCAACUAGAGAUGGUCUGGUUCCAAUUUGUCAGGACACUUUUGAUGGAAAGCUGAAGCUUCAGAUCUGGGAACGCAGUGUCAACGGCGUCAGAGGAAAGCUGGUGUUGGAUGUCACGAGUGAAAUGGCAGCACUCGAGGUUGGCGGCGGACCGUGGUACACAACCUGGAAGAAAAAGAGUAGAAUGGCGGAACCGCUGAGAUCCUUGGUAGGCUUGCAGCUGGACCUGGAGAGCGUUUUCUCAAGCGUUCCCGCACUAAAACCACCCGGACUGUGAAACCAAUCUUGUCGAUGAAAAGAAAACAAACACACAGGAUUUGCAUGCAGGGCUCAAUCAAACGCGUGGCGGAAUCCGGAUGCUAUUUCAGCUGGUCCGGACGAGAGCGCAGACAAAGAGAAACGCAGAAGCAGGAUCAUGGGCGCCUCGCAGUCUCAGCAGCUAGAGCAGCAGCCGAGCGGCGGCGUGGUCUUUCCCGGCGAAGAAGAAGAGAGGGGCUUCUAUGGACAGCCAGCUUCGACCAUGGAACCGGCACCGCCACCUCCAGCCAGCAGCUACACCCUCUUCAUGAACGCCUUGACAGCCUUCGUGCCGGAGGAGCACGUAGGCCGGCUGGUGAUGUACAUGGCAAUCUUCGGUGUCCUCUUCGCGGUGAUCGGCUUGAUCGGCCUCGUCUUCCCGUUCGUUUUCGCUAUAGCGGUGGAGCAAGUGAUGGGAGCUGUGAUGGUGCUGGGUGGGAUCUUCUCCGCGGUGCAAUUCGGGGUCAUGUACGACAUACCCGGGAACAGCUCGUUUCUUCUCAUGGGAUUCCUGCAUUUGGGAUUCGGGCUGUGGAUGCUGCUCCAACCGGUUGAAGCCGGAGUCAUGCUCAUGUUCGUGCUCUCUGGAUGGCUCCUGGGACAUGUAAGUUAUCUUCUUUGUAUUGAUCAACUUUGCUUGUGUGUUUUCUUGUUUUCAGGGGCUGCUCAAGACCUUCAUGGCUUGUCAAGUUCGUAACUUGUCGUCGUGGCCGUUUGUGUUCGUGAGUGGAAUUCUUUCGAUACUGCUGGCGCUGCUUAUCCUCGUCCUGGCUCCCAAGUACGGUGUGGUUCUUUUGGGAAUUACUUUUGGCGCAGACAUGUUUGUCUCGGGGCUGUCGAUGAUUUUAAUUGCCGCAACCACUUACUUCUCCCGGAGAAGUCGUCCUCGGAUCGACACUGAGCCUCUGCUUCCACCUGCGACAGCUCCUCCUGCGUAGCUACGUGUUUCUAUUCCUUUUUUUUUUGUGAUGUGAUCCUUUGAAUACAAUUCCGUUAUCAUUUCA